GAUGAACGCUGGCGGUGUGCCUAAUACAUGCAAGUCGAACGAAAAGACGAGAGUGCUUGCCCUCUCUGCCGUUCGCGGCGGACGGGUGUGUGACACGUGGCUAACCUUCCUAUCAGACUGGGAUAACUUCGGGAAACCGGAGCUAAUACCGGAUAAUAUUUAGCUUCGCAUGGAGCAAUAGUGAAAGACGGUUCUGCUGUCACUUAUAGAUGGACCCGCGGUGUAUUAGCUGGUUGGUGAGGUAACGGCUCACCAAGGCAACGAUACGUAGCCGACCGGAGAGGGUGAUCGGCCACACUGGGACUGAGACACGGACCAGACUCCUACGGGAGGCGGCAGGAGGGAAUCUUCCGCAAGGGACGAAAGUCUGACGGAGCAAUGCCGCGUGAGUGAAGAAGGUUUUCGGAUCGUAAAACUCUGUUGUAAGGGAAGAACAAGUACGUUAGUAACGGAACGUACCUUGACGGUACCGUACCAGAAAGCCGCGCCUACCUACGG
rnacentral:rRNA from 1 species